AAAAUUCUUAUCCCUGAGAGAUUUUAAAAAUUCUUAUUUUAAAAAGCCGAAGGCUUACCGCCUUUUAAGGGUGAGAGAUUUCAAGAAACAAAAGUUCCGACACCGCUCCAAAUACUAUUAACCCUGAGAGGUCCCUGGGGAUUCCAGGCGAUUCGUGAUUGGUCGAAGGGGUUUUCGGGACCGUGACGCUUUCGUGCUGCUCCGAUCGCGACGCGACUAAUCCCAUUCGAUGUAGAAUGACUUUUUACACAGAUAUUUGACCAAGAAAAAGACACCCAGAUUGACUUUGAGUUGAUUGUUUGUUGACUAGCAGACGACGAUAACUUUUAUCGGUGUGGCGUGUGGGUACUGGCUACUGGGGCGGCUGGGUAUUCAUUGGAAUUCAUCGAUCUAAUGAUUCUAAUAAGAAAAAAAAACCAUGCCUCCAGUGUCACAACUGAUGAUUCCUUUACCCAUCAAAUGCCAGAUUGGCAGAUAGUUCAAUAUGUGGGUGCUGAAUGAACUGGUAAACAUAAAAAAUGGAAUUGACAAUAGAUUACAUUUAUCAUCAGACAUUGCUCCCAUUCAGAAAAUUAUGUCUUGAAGAUGACGACAAGUUGCCAGUUGAUUUACAUGUCACCCAUAAUGAUAUCCUAGCACACCAUACUUUAUUCGGCAUGCAAAAAAAGCUUUCCCUUCUAGCUUUCCCUCAUUUAAAGGCCUUGAUGUUAUGGUUAGCGAAAUUUUAUCAACAAAGAUAAAUUAAAGCUGCAGCUGUGGAAAAUGGAAUUGACAAUUAACUUUACAAUAGACAUACUACAGUUUCAGAACAGUUGGGCAUGAAGAUGACAAGUUGCCAGUCGAUUGACAUGUCACCCUAAGUUAUACCACAGCAAUGGAAUUGAUAUUUCAGAAAAAAAUUUCUUGAAAGUUGCCAGUCGAUUUACAUGACACCCUAAGUGAUAUCAUAGCAAGAGCUUGUCAUUUAGAUAGUUUGUUACCAUUCUUGAUUCAACAUUCAAAAGAAGAUUUCCCUCAUUUAGAAUGCCUUGAUGAUUUGAAGAAAAAAAAACCACUGAUAAUCUUCGACUUCCUGCAAAUUGGUACCCUUAAGCAAGAGCCUUGAAAAGGAAAAUUGUAUCUCAUUCUGGACCAACUAUUAUAGUGAAAAAAAUAUCAUGUUCUUGAAAGGUUGUUUAAUUCAAAUCAGGAGUUUAUAGUAGUCCCUCAAUUUUUUAAUUCAAAAUCAGGAGUUUAUUAUGGUCCCUUAAAACUUUUGACAACUGAUGGGUAUUGCAAAAGGAAAUGAGUGUGGUGUCCCAUAUGAUUAGUAACUGGAGAAGAAAGAAAGUUUUCUAAUGCUACUGAUAUAUCCCCUUUUUCCCAUGUAUCCUGCACUGUUGAAACUCUUCUCCUGUUAAGUGCCAUCAUACAUAAAUAAUAAAAACGACUCUUGUGUUACAUUUGAAUCCAUUUAUUUAAAUACAAAAUUGAAUAAUUAAUUUGAAAAUAAAUGACGCCAUGACGGACAGUUGACAGAAUACAGUGUCAAAACGCACACUAGAGGGUAGGGCAAAGCAGAAUCCCGCCAAAGUGCAUUAUUUCAAAUAGUUUUACUACCCAACACUCUUUUCCUUCCGAAAUUUUCACACAAUGAGUGGGACUAAAUGAUGAUUAAAAAAAUCAACCAUGAGAAAUAAGACUUACUAGAGAACUAACUAUUUUAAUUGUUGACUAUUUAAUAAGAUGACAAACAGAGAAAACAAUACGAAAACUAAAUUUUUAAAUUUCCUAAUCAAGAAAAAAAACGAAAGGAGACUUUUAAAAUCUCGAAGGUGCCACAGAGGGGCUUGAUCCCUGAGAGAUUUUUAAAAUUCUUAUUUUAAAAAGCCGAAGGCUUACCGCCUUUUAAGGGUGAGAGAUUUCAAGAAACAAAAGUUCCGACAGCGCUCCAAAUAGUCUUAACUGUGAGAGGUCCCUGGGGAAUUGGGGCGAUUCGUGAUUGGUCGAAGGGGUUUUCGGGACUGUGACGCGUUCGUGCUGCUCUGAUCGCGACGCGACUAAUCUUAUUCGAUGUAGAAUGACUUUUUACAUAGGUCAUGACUAAAUUUUUUAAGUAUUAACGAAAAUAACGAGAGAUUGGGAGCAAAAAGGGGAAAAAAAGGGGAAACUUCUAAAAUAGAUUGCAUAUACGAUUCCACAAAAUUAAAGGGUCCAAUUAGUUCUAAUGGAAAGAACAACUUUCCGUUUAACCGAAAAGACUAAAUUUGCAUUACUUAUUUUGUGGUUCGCGAGAUAUCUGCGAAAGAAAAAGACACCCAGAUUGACUUUUAGCUUGAUUGUUGACUAGCAGACGACGGUAAAUUUUAACAGGAUAACAGUCACGUGUGGCAUGGCGAAUUGAUGGAUUGAAUGUUUGUGAUAGAUUUCAUCUCGUGAAACACUGUGUUUUUAUUUCAUAUGUUAACUAUUGCUGAAUUCUAAUAAGAAAAAAAACCAUGCAUCCAGUAUCACAACUGAUGGUUCAAUUACCCAUCAAAUGCAAGAUUGGCAGAUAGUUCAAAUGUGGGUGCUGAAUGAACUGGUAAACAUGGAAUUGACAAUUAUCUUUAUCAUCAGACAUUGCUCCCUAUCAGAAAAUAUGUCUUGAAGAUGACGACAAGUUGCCAGUUGAUUUACAGGUCACACUUAGUGAUAUCCUAGCACAGCAUACUUUAUUCGGCAUGCAAAAAAAGCUUUCCCCUCUGGCUUUCCCUCAUUUAAAAAGCCUUGAUGAUUUCAUGGUUCUAAGCAAAAAUUUUAUCAACGGAUAGAAAUUAAAGCUGCAGCUGUGUGAAAUGGAAUUGACAAUUACAUUCAUCAUCAGACAUAUUUCAGUUUCAGAAAGUUUUGUCUUGAAGAUGACAAUAGUUGCCAGUCGAUUUACAUGUCACCUUAAGUGAUGUCAUAGCAGGAGCUUGUCAUUUAGAUAAUUUGUUACCAUUCUUAAUUCAACAUGAAAAACAAGCUUUCCCUCAUUUAGAAUGCCUUGAUGAAUUGAAAAAAAAAACUCACUUCCUGCAAAUUGGUACCUACCCUGAAGCAAGAGCCUUGACAUGCAAAAUUGUAUUUUAUUCUGGGCUUCUGGCUUAACAAAUAGCGGGAAAACAUAUCAUGUUCUUGAAAGGUUUUGUUAUUCAAAUCAGCAGGAGUUUAUUAUGAUCCCUUAAAUUUUCAAUUCGAAAUCAUGAGUUUAUAAUGGUCCCUUAAAACUUUUUACAUCUAAAGUGUAUUGCAAAAGUAAUGAGUGUGGUGUCCAAUGUGAUUUAGUAACUGGAGAAGAGAAACAAUUUGCUAAUGCUACUGAUAAAUCCAAUUUUUUCCCAGGAUCCUGCACUGUUAUAAUGAUCACAGUGAAAAUCAUAUCAACUCUUCUCCUGUUGAGUGCCAUCAUAAAUAAAUAAUAAAAAUGA